rnacentral:lncRNA from 1 species
UUUAAAGGUGACUGUGCGAAAUCUCGGGUAAAAGAUGGGUUGCUGUUAACGGUGUUGGGAGAAGAGGUGCUUUUAGGACUUGAGUCUUUCAAGAACGUUAUGAAUGCAGCUCAUGUUCCAGCGAUUCCUUAAUGCUUUGCGGUGGCAUCUGCGGCCGGACGUCCCUUUCUGAGGGCACCGCGGAGAAUGCACGUGCAGAAAAUGCAUGCUGACGUUGCAGUUCGGCUCUGAUUUCCUCCCAAGCUGCAUACAGGGUGGUUGGAUCAGUUUUGCUUUGCCCACAGCACUGCUUUGCACCCAUCUCUCAGGGCUUCAGGCUGAGCGCAAUGGAGGUGAAUGUGGAAUAUCAGGAAACUCUUAUAUCCUGUUAGCGUAAACCAGGGUUUCCAACAACUUCAGCACAAAAG